rnacentral:rRNA from 1 species
GAUGAACGCUGGCGGCGUGCCUAAUACAUGCAAGUCGAGCGAACAGACGAGGAGCUUGCUCCUCUGACGUUAGCGGCGGACGGGUGAGUAACACGUGGAUAACCUACCUAUAAUACUGGGAUAACUUCGGGAAACCGGAUCUACUACCAGCUCAUAUAUUGAACCGCUUGGUUCAAUAGUGCAAGGCGGCUUUCCCGUCACUUAUAGAUGAAUCCGGGUCGCAUUAGCUAGUUGGUAAGGUAACGGCUUACCAAGGCAACGAUGCGUAGCCGAUCUGAGAGGAUGAUCGGCCACACUGGAACUGAGACACGGUCCAGACUCCUACGGGAGGCAGCAGUAGGGAAUCUUCGGCAAUGGGCGAAAGCCUGACGGAGCAACGCCGCGUGAGUGAUGAAGGUCUUCGGAUCGUAAAGCCCUGUUAUUAGGAAAGAACAAAUGUGGAAGUAACUAUGGACGUCUUGACGGUACCUAAUCAGAAAGCAACGGCUAACUACGUG